rnacentral:rRNA from 1 species
UACGAAGGGGACUAGCGUUGUUCGGAAUCACUGGGCGUAAAGCGCACGUAGGCGGAUUUGUAAGUCAGGGGUGAAAUCCCGGGGCUCAACCUCGGAACUGCCUUUGAUACUGCGAAUCUUGAGUCCGAUAGAGGUGGGUGGAAUUCCUAGUGUAGAGGUGAAAUUCGUAGAUAUUAGGAAGAACACCGGUGGCGAAGGCGGCCCACUGGAUCGGUACUGACGCUGAGGCGCGAAAAGCGUGGGGGAGCAAACAGG